rnacentral:pre_miRNA from 1 species
GUGACAGAAGAGAGUGAGCACACAUGGGUUUUCUUGCAAAAUAAUUAUUUAGCCUCAUGUAUGCUUCAAACUAUGUGUGCUCACCCUCUAUCUGUCAC